AAUGAACGCUGGCGGCGUGUCUUAAGCAUGCAAGUCGUGCGGCAAGGGUAGCAAUACCCCUAGAGCGGCGGACUGGUGAGUAACGCGUGGGUGAUCUGCCCUUGGGUUGGGGAUAGCCAUUAGAAAUAGUGGGUAAUACCGAAUACGAUGGAGAGACUGUGGUCUUGUGAUGAAAGGCGGUUCGGCGCCACCCGAGGAGGAGCCCGCGUCCCAUUAGCUAGUUGGUGAGGUAACGGCCCACCAAGGCGAUGAUGGGUAGGCGGCCUGAGAGGGUGUACGCCCACACUGGGACUGAGAUACGGCCCAGACUCCUACGGGAGGCAGCAGCUAAGAAUAUUCCGCAAUGGACGAAAGUCUGACGGAGCGACGCCGCGUGGAUGACGAAGGCCGAAAGGUUGUAAAAUCCUUUUGUUGGGGAAGAAUAAGGCUGGGAGGGAAUGCCCGGCUGAUGACAUGAACCGACGAAUAAGUCCCGGCUAACUACGUGCCAGCCGCCGCAGUAA
rnacentral:rRNA from 1 species